rnacentral:lncRNA from 1 species
GGGAGGGUCUCGAAGCCACUGAGUGGUCUGAAGGCCAUCCAGGCGGAUGAGCUGCUCCAGCAGGGCAGGCCGUCGCUGCGCCUAGAGAAACUGCCCAUGGCUUCGGGGCGGUGGCUUGAGGCCCCUGCCGUCCCUGCUGGAGCUAGGGAGUGCCAGAGAAGGAGGACGUCGCCCACCUUACCCGCGGGCUGGCUAUGGGCACAACGUGGCCAGGCAAUGGUGACACCUGCGAUUAGAUGUAAUGGGUGCGCAGAGGGCACAGGGCCACGAGGGUGUCCAGCCUGGGACACCUGAAGGGCAGCCUGGAGGAGGGCUGUUGCAGCAAAGGUCUGGAGACCCAGCGCUGUCCGAUAGAAGGAGGGUGACGCGAGGGUGGAAAGGGCUUCCUGGCAGCAGAGGCUGCAGGUGACAGGUGGGAGGAAGGGCAGAGCAGCUCCUUCCAGAAACCGAUCAGUCCAGGGAUGAUGGAGAAGAGCCCCAGUCCUCCCUCUGGCCCGUCCGCCAGCCUGUCUCCUCCCUCAGUACAUCCCAGCCCCUUGGGGCGCGCUCAGAGCUGAUCGGGUGUCAGAGCUGAGUAACUGCUGGAAGCUGCUGGUGCAAGCUCGUGGCCCAGCUGGAAGUGGGUAACCGGAGCCGCAGUGGGCUCAGAGGCCUGGCGCAGGGCACUGGAGCUGCAGGAGGUAGGAGAGGAGGCCUGGGCUAGAGGCUCCCGUAGGGCCCGCAGCUCCGUUGGAGGAGGGAGAGGCUGCCGCACCCCGCGCACCCACACACGCACGCACCCUCACAAUGCGCGGCCUUCCCGCUGGCCGCUGGCCUUUACCUGGCUGGAGAGGCGCCACCUCGCCUGCCACCACCGCUUAGCACCCAGCUCCCUGGCCACCAGGUUCUCCCUGCUGACCAUCAUCUCUUUCAGGAAGCCGCUCCCUAAAAUUAGAGGGCACUGCCCCCUCUCCCAGCCUGCAGAUCCCCUCCUUCACAGGCAAACUGUGGGCUUCUCUCCUGGGUGUCUCAUUGCACCCACUUUGGGGUGGAAUGCAGGAAAAUGGGUGAUGGGUGGUGGUGAGUGAAUAGGCACAUCGGUUGGUGCAGGGUGUCUAGGGGAG